GCCUCUCGCCUACACCGGGAAAAUAUCUGAUCGCCCAGAUUACUUUGA
rnacentral:tRNA from 1 species